UACAUCAACUCAUGUCACAUGACAUGAGUUGACCAACAAUUAAAGCAGAAGACCAGCUCCGCCUGUAAUCCUCCUCCUUCAACACCACCAGUCAGGUGGAGGAAGAUAAGAGAACCCAGUUGACUAAAAAAAUUGACCAACAAUUAAAGCAGAAGACCUGCUCCACCUGCUGAUCUACUGGUUGUAACAGCUUGUGGGAAAGCAUCACUGGACCAAUCAGGCGAGAGAAGACAGAGAGGACUGAGGACUGAAACGAAAAUACUCUGCCUGCCAAAAAAGGUUUGAGGCAGACCGACCGCUGGGGAGAUGGACCUCACCUGGCACCAUUACUCUGGAUGUAACAGGAAGCUCGACUCUGCUGUCAAAACAUCAAUGACUCGAGAAGCGGACAGCGAGAUUUCUGGUGCCUGGCUGGAGACGAGAUUCUGAUUAUUCAAGAGCCAAAACAAAAUGUCAGAAUAAAUAGUUAGAAGGCAGAUUUGUUUUCUAUUUGUUGUUGUUUUUAUUAUUAAUGCUCCACGACACAAA